rnacentral:sRNA from 1 species
UAGGUAGGACGUGUCGGCUGC